UAAGGAAUAUUGGUCAAUGGGCGGAAGCCUGAACCAGCCAUGCCGCGUGCAGGAAGACGGCCCUACGGGUUGUAAACUGCUUUUGUACGGGAAUAAACCUACUUAUGUAUAAGUAGCUGAAUGUACUGUAAGAAUAAGGAUCGGCUAACUCCGUGCCAGCAGCCGCGGUAAUACGGAGGAUCCAAGCGUUAUCCGGAUUUAUUGGGUUUAAAGGGUGCGUAGGCGGCCUGUUAAGUCAGGGGUGAAAGACGGUAGCUCAACUAUCGCAGUGCCCUUGAUACUGAUGGGCUUGAAUGUACUUGAGGUAGGCGGAAUGUGACAAGUAGCGGUGAAAUGCAUAGAUAUGUCACAGAACACCAAUUGCGAAGGCAGCUUACUAAAGUAUGAUUGACGCUGAGGCACGAAAGCGUGGGGAUCAAACA
rnacentral:rRNA from 2 species